rnacentral:rRNA from 1 species
GAUGAACGCUGGCGGCGUGCUUAAUACAUGCAAGUCGAGCGAACGGACGAGAAGCUUGCUUCUCUGAUGUUAGCGGCGGAUGGGUGAGUAACGCGUGGAUAACCUACCUAUAAGACUGGGGUAUUUUAGGGAAAGCGUAGCUAAUACAGGAUAAUCUUUUGAAGCGUAUGGUUCAAAAGUGAAAUACGGUCGUGCUGUCACUUCUAGAUGGAUAAGCGCUGCAUUGGCUAGUUGGUAAGGUAACGGAUUUUCAAGGCAACGAUGCUUAGGAGGCAUGAGCGAGUGAAUGGCCAGACUGGAAGGUAGACUCGGUCCAGACUCCGACGGUAAGCAGCAGUAGGGAAUCUUCCGCAAUGGGGGAAAGCCUGACAGAGCAACGCCGCGUGAGGGAUGAAGGUGUGCGGAUCGGAAAGCGAUGUUAUUAGUGAAUAACAUAUGUGUAAGUAGCUGUGCAGAUAUUGACGGUACCUAAUCAGAAAGCCACGGCUAACUACGUG